CCUACGGGAGGCAGCAGUGGGGAAUAUUGCGCAAUGGGCGAAAGCCUGACGCAGCGACGCCGCGUGAGGGAUGAAGGUCUUCGGAUCGUUAACCUCUGUCAGCAGGGAAGAAAGGUCACUGUGCUAAUCAGCAGUGAAUUGACGGUACCUGCAAAGGAAGCACCGGCUAACUCCGUGCCAGCAGCCGCGGUAAUACGGAGGGUGCGAGCGUUAAUCGGAAUUACUGGGCGUAAAGCGCUCGUAGGCGGUAUGUCAAGGCAAGGGUGAAAUCCCCGCGCUCAACGUGGGAACUGCCGUUGAAACUGGCAAACUGGAGUGUGUGAGAGGAUAGUGGAAUUCCAGGUGUAGGAGUGAAAUCCGUAGAUAUCUGGAGGAACAUCAGUGGCGAAGGCGACUAUCUGGCACAUAACUGACGCUGAGGAGCGAAAGCGUGGGUAGCAAACAGGAUUAGAUACCCGGGUAGUC
rnacentral:rRNA from 1 species